rnacentral:rRNA from 1 species
AGUGAACGCUGGCGGUAGGCCUAACACAUGCAAGUCGAACGGCAGCACAGUAAGAGCUUGCUCUUACGGGUGGCGAGUGGCGGACGGGUGAGGAAUACAUCGGAAUCUACUUUUUCGUGGGGGAUAACGUAGGGAAACUUACGCUAAUACCGCAUACGACCUACGGGUGAAAGCAGGGGAUCUUCGGACCUUGCGCGAUUGAAUGAGCCGAUGUCGGAUUAGCUAGUUGGUGGGGUAAAGGCCCACCAAGGCGACGAUCCGUAGCUGGUCUGAGAGGAUGAUCAGCCACACUGGAACUGAGACACGGUCCAGACUCCUACGGGAGGCAGCAGUGGGGAAUAUUGGACAAUGGGCGCAAGCCUGAUCCAGCCAUACCGCGUGGGUGAAGAAGGCCUUCGGGUUGUAAAGCCCUUUUGUUGGGAAAGAAAAGCAGCAGGUUAAUACCCCGCUGUUCCGACGGUACCCAAAGAAUAAGCACCGGCUAACUUCGUG